UGGCUUCUAAUUAAAGUCUGGCAUGAAUGANCGCAUGGGUAAUGACUGUCUUAGGAAUGUUGAUAUGAAAUUAUUAAGUUAGUGCAAAUGCUAAUGGAAAUAAAAAAGACGAGAAGACCCUAGAAACUUAAACUACUUUUGCUGGGGCGGCAGAAUUGCAUAUAACCAAUUACUUUACAUGAGCAGCGGUGCUGGAAGAAAAAGUUACUCUAGGGAUAACAGCAUAAUUUAAAUAGUUUGUGACCUCGAUGUUGGACUAGGGAAAUCACGCCUUAAAAGGGCGUGAUAAUAGCUCUGUUCGAGCUUUUAGCCCCUACGUGAUCUGAGUUCA
rnacentral:rRNA from 1 species